GGGAAAUAAACACUCAGAUGCGAACUACAGCACUGACUGCCAGUCCACUUUAACUUCAUCAGCAGACCUCCAUCUCUCCUGUCUCAGACAAAGAGCCAGUGUCUGAUGCCCCAUAAGGAUGUAAAAUUAUAAGGCAAUGUCUUCUUCAAAGGUGAAAAACAAGCUCCAGAUGUUUCCAAUAGCAGAUGCUGUGACUGCCCAACCAGAUGCUCCAUUCCCAUCACCUCCCAAGCACUUACUUAGGACUGUUGUGGAAAUUUCUAGCCAUCUCAGCUUUGCAGGUUAGUAGAAACAAACAAGCCCUCUGCAUUAGCUGCCUCGAUAGGGCUAAAUGACAAGAACCUCCCAAGAAACACAUAUUUCUGGUGACCACUUUUCACUGGAGAUUUGACUAUUUUACUGUGACCAAAUGGUAAAGGGGCCUUUCUAAUGUUUAACUUGGAUGCCCCAAAUGGAAAAUGACUGAAGACUCAAUUCAGUUGAGUUAGACUCAUUAGUCACUGAGUUUAUUGCCUAGAUGAGAUUUACUAGACAUUUAACCAAAAAUCCAAGACAAUCUAGAUUCCUCAUUUUAGCUGUGAAUUUCAAUAACUCUCCAAACCUCAAAUCUGCCCCUUCUUUCCAAUUUUAUUUUUUAAAACUGGAAGCUGACAAUUGACUAGAUAAUGUUCAUUUUGGGGGAUUGUGCUGAAUAAGAAAAAGAGAGAAAAUCAAGGUGAUAUAGGUAACCUUAACAAUCUACCUCUCAUCCAAGUUGAAAACUGUUUAGAAACCCAGUGGUCUGAUUCAAAUAAUCUCCUGGUCAUCUUUCAGUCUCUUCUUACUCUUGGCUUUUACUGGCUUCCUCAAAAAAAAAAUUUUUUUUUUUUAAGGGUGCACGUGCGUAUGGAAAUUCUUGGGCUAGGGGUUGAAUCCAG
rnacentral:lncRNA from 1 species